rnacentral:snoRNA from 1 species
UGCAGAUGAUGAUCUCUUUUUACUAUGAAAAAAAAUGUGAUGACAACCACCAAGAUCGCUGAUGCA